CGAGUUCGAUCCGGGCUCACGGACGAACGCUGGCGGCGAGCCUAACACACUGCAAGUCGACCGAGAAACCAGCCUUCGAUCUCCUUCGGGACUGAUAAGGCCGGUAGAAAGUGGCGCCCGGGUGAGUACCGCAUGGGUAAUCUACCCAGUAAGUGGGGGAUACCCCUCCGAAAGGAGGGCUAAUACCGCAUAACAUCUUUCCUUCAUAAGAAGGAGAGAUUAAAGAUGGCCUCUUCAUAUGCUAUCACUUCAGGAUGAGUCCGCGUCCUAUUAGUUAGUUGGUAGGGUAAUGGCCUCCCAAGACCACAAUGGGUAGCCGGUCUGAGAGGAUGUACGGCCACACUGGGACUGAGAUACGGCCCAGACUCCUACGGGAGGCAGC
rnacentral:rRNA from 1 species